rnacentral:rRNA from 1 species
UACGAAGGGGGCUAGCGUUGUUCGGAGUUACUGGGCGUAAAGGGCGCGUAGGCGGCGCACCAAGUCAGGCGUGAAAGCCCUGGGCUCAACCCGGGAAUUGCGCUUGAGACUGGUGUGCUUGAGUACGGGAGAGGAUAGUGGAAUUCCCAGUGUAGAGGUGAAAUUCGUAGAUAUUGGGAAGAACACCGGUGGCGAAGGCGGCUAUCUGGACCGUAACUGACGCUGAGGCGCGAAAGCGUGGGGAGCAAACGGG